rnacentral:rRNA from 1 species
AUGCAAGUCGAACGAUGAACCAUUUCGGUGGGGAUUAGUGGCGAACGGGUGAGUAACACGUGGGCAAUCUGCCCUGCACUCUGGGACAAGCCCUGGAAACGGGGUCUAAUACCGGAUAAUACCUUUCCUCGCAUGGGGACGGGUUGAAAGCUCCGGCGGUGCAGGAUGAGCCCGCGGCCUAUCAGCUUGUUGGUGGGGUGAUGGCCUACCAAGGCGACGACGGGUAGCCGGCCUGAGAGGGCGACCGGCCACACUGGGACUGAGACACGGCCCAGACUCCUACGGGAGGCAGCAGUGGGGAAUAUUGCACAAUGGGCGGAAGCCUGAUGCAGCGACGCCGCGUGAGGGAUGACGGCCUUCGGGUUGUAAACCUCUUUCAGCAGGGAAGAAGCGUGAGUGACGGUACCUGCAGAAGAAGCACCGGCUAACUACGUGCCAGCAGCCGCGGUAAUACGUAGGGUGCGAGCGUUGUCCGGAAUUAUUGGGCGUAAAGAGCUCGUAGGCGGCUUGUCGCGUCGGAUGUGAAAGCCCGGGGCUUAACUCCGGGUCUGCAUUCGAUACGGGCAGGCUAGAGUGUGGUAGGGGAGAUCGGAAUUCCUGGUGUAGCGGUGAAAUGCGCAGAUAUCAGGAGGAACACCGGUGGCGAAGGCGGAUCUCUGGGCCAUUACUGACGCUGAGGAGCGAAAGCGUGGGGAGCGAACAGGAUUAGAUACCCUGGUAGUCCACGCCGUAAACGUUGGGAACUAGGUGUUGGCGACAUUCCACGUCGUCGGUGCCGCAUACAGGUGGUGCUAACGCAUUAAGUUCCCCGCCUGGGGAGUACGGCCGCAAGGCUAAAACUCAAAGGAAUCCGCACAAGCAGCGGAGC